rnacentral:rRNA from 1 species
CCUACGGGAGGCAGCAGUGAGGAAUAUUGGUCAAUGGACGAGAGUCUGAACCAGCCAAGUAGCGUGAAGGAUGACUGCCCUAUGGGUUGUAAACUUCUUUUAUAUGGGAAUAAAAUGUUCCACGUGUGGGAUUUUGUAUGUACCAUAUGAAUAAGGAUCGGCUAACUCCGUGCCAGCAGCCGCGGUAAUACGGAGGAUCCGAGCGUUAUCCGGAUUUAUUGGGUUUAAAGGGAGCGUAGGUGGAUUGUUAAGUCAGUUGUGAAAGUUGGCGGCUCAACCGUAAAAUUGCAGUUGAAACUGGCAGUCUUGAGUACAGUAGAGGUGGGCGGAAUUCGUGGUGUAGCGGUGAAAUGCUUGGAUAUCACGAAGAACUCCGAUUGCGAAGGCAGUUCACUGGACUGCAACUGACACUGAGGCUCGAAAGUGUGGGUAUCAAACAGGAUUAGAUACCCGAGUAGUC